rnacentral:rRNA from 1 species
AGGUGCAAAGUUUGGUCAAAGUAACAAGAAAGUCGUAACAAGGUUUCCGUAGGUGAACCUGCGGAAGGAUCAUU